CGUUAUUAAAAAAUGCUGUAUUUUAUCAUAUUCUAUAAAUUUAAUAAUUUAAAAUUAUAUCAAAUAUCAAAUUCGAAUGUUCAUUAUAUUAUAUACGUAGUACGUAUACACGUGCAAGUACAUACGUAUAUAGUACGUACGUCUGUUCAUUUCUCACGUAAUAGCAGUGGAAAAAUGGUAAUCGAUGUAGAUAAAAUAUUCGUGGAUAGUAUUCGCGCCGUUUUUCCAGGAAGCCAUAUGAACGAAGGCAGUGUCGAUGCCGUAGAAGAUUCUGAUAAAGCGUGUACCGACGUUGUUUCACGGUUCCCGGCGUGUUUGUCGCGAGAGAGACCACCAGUCGUGCAUUGCGUGCGACGCCAGGCGUCGUCGGUCUAGGCGUUGUGGCGCCUCGAUCUACCCUUUUGCUUGUCGCCCGUAUAGUGCAUAGGGUUGGCAGAAACCUCGAUCUAACUGCACACGUGUAUUUGUACAAGGCGAAACGCACGCACAACAGUUGCAUCAAAACUACAUAUACACAUUCACAAUAUUCUAUUUCAGCCCUUUCUAAAUCGCUAACUAAAGCUGCGUUAAUAACAUUGGCCAAAUAGGCUUUAACUCUAAGAAGCUUGAAUUCGUGUAACGUGAAACUAUUUUACUGAUCUAAAUCUAUUUGUUUAUUUGACCUUUGGAAAGUACGCUUUCGAGUUUCUAUCAAGUUUAUAAAGGAAGUAAUGAUUCUUUUAAGUUAAUUUCCUUCGAAACAGAAUACAAAUUCAAACUUCAAUUGAGUUUGAAAAAUUGCGUUGUUUAUUUAAACUGAAGUUGUAGAAACAACGACAAAAUAAUUUAGUUUUUGUAAAUUUAUUAAAAAUAUUAAAAGUAAGAAAGAAAGCAGAAAAUGAGAAGAAAUGUUAGAGAUAUAUUUGUUAUUUUGUACCAGCAAACAUAAAUUUUUCACAGCCCCAACUUUAUCUAGCUCAUAAUAACAAAAAUAAUAUUCGUCGUAUCGUCUGUUGCUUCAAUGCCCAUUGUAGCCGAGACCUAAUGAUGUGCACACAUACGGAACGUUUCAUCUCAUAUACAUGCAUUCACGCGCAACAUUCAUCUCGGGAUGCUAAUAUUUGUAGGAACUCUAAUAUUUGUUGGGGAUUGGAAAAAUUUGAAACAGACUUAUUUAAUUUUACUCUUUACAAGUAUAUGCUCGAUUUCGAUAUUAAUCUUCCUUUUGAAAUGUAUAUUUUAAUAUGGCAAAAAAUUCUUUUAUGAUUUAUUUUAUAAUUUAUUUUUAAACGAUAUGAUUAUCGAAAUUAUAAUUCAAGUAGAAAACAUUUUAAAAAAAGUUUCUUUCUCUUUAUUUAGAUUAAUAUUCGUUGUGGUUACUACUUUCAGGUAGACUGACCUGACAAACGCAGCUGUCCUUGGCCUCGCAAAAAGCCAAAAUUAGAAAUGGCACUUAGUAACUCAGAGAAAGAGAUUGAAAGAGGCAUACACAGAAAGAAAGAGAUGAGAAGUGCCUGGAAGUCUGCUGUACAGUUGUCUCGAACGGAAAUGGGAUAAUGUAAUUGUCUCUCCUAUCAGUAGGGGAUUACUCAGUUCUCUACAAAUACACAUAGAGGAUAGAAGGAUAGAGAAAUUUGAAAGACGUGGUUAGCAUUUUCUCAGAUGUAUCAUAAAACUUUAUCGAUAAUUUGUAUGUGUCACAUAAUUUUCUGAGAAUAACCAGUACAAUGAAUCAUUACACUUAAAUCGAGAAAUGUCACGCAAGGUCGAUAACAAAUUGUCGAGAAAUCGUCACAUUGCUUUCAAUGUAAAAUAUAUUAUAGAAGUUUUAUUAUUAAAUAAUUAUUAUUGUCAAAACGUAAUAUAAAAAAAUUAUGAAAAUUUAAAUGUUAAGAAAGUAAGUAGAAAUUUCGUUCAUUAAUGUUCAGAUAAUCGAAUUUACUGAUGAUAAAGAUAUCGAAUAAUCGGUCAUUCCUAUCGAUUCAAUCCUUUAUCCCUUUACAAAAGAAAAGAGAUAAUGGUAAAAAAAAAAAAAACUGAGUAAAUACUCAUUCAUUUAAUAUUUAUUUUAAAAUAACUGCGCUAGAAAGUUAUACUCGUGAAACAAUUUUGUGAGAGUUGUAACAUUUUGUAAUAUGAUUUUUUUCUCUGGAUUUCGUAAUUAGGAUUAGUUAUUCUUCUUUCGUUUUAUAAUGGCACGGAAUUUUUGGGGCAUAACGUAACAUAAAAUGCAUACCGGAAUUGAAACGAAGCUUGAAUUUAGCGCUAAAAUUAAACGGGAACAUCAAACUAGCAAAAAUUCGAAAUCUAAUUUCUGGAUAAUAAAAAAAAACUAAUUCUUUGAUCGAAGAUACUCGUUAAAGUUCAUUGAACUUUUAUUUUUGUAAUUAAUAAAAUACAUCUCAUAACCUCACAAACAAUCAUAAGUUAAAUUUUAAAAUUUCGUAAAGAUUUAUAAAACUUGGUUUUUAACUCUUCUGUUAAUUUCUCACACGUGAAAUGCUAACCACGAAGAACUGUUGAAUAGAAUUUAUUUCGAUCUUAGAAUAAAGCAAAUUCCCAGCAAAGGAUAAAGGGAAAAGGUUGUACGAGUUAUGGGACUACGUGGGGCACGGUUCGCGAUCGCUUAAUUCCUUUAAAUUACAUGGAAUUGGAGGGAAUAAUUUUCUCCAUUCUUGGGGCACCGACCAAUUGUACGGGAGGAGAAACGGCGACCAUCGUGGAUGGCGACAUGCAACAACGCACCCCAGGGUCACGCACACCAUGUGCACGAAUGAAAGAAGACAGCUAGCAAAUAGGGAGAGAGAUAGACCUUGGGUCUUUUUAGUGAUCAAAAAAGCGAAAAGAAUCGAGAAUGUGAGAAAGAUGAAGAAAAAAGAAAAGAAAGAAAAAAUAAAAACGACCAAAUAAAGAAAUUAAAGAACAAAAAGAGAACGUUGCUUUUAUAAUUUAAAUAUAUAUUUAAAAAUUUGUAAAAUUUCUGUAAUUUAAAAAGCAAUAGUACUAUAGUAUUAUAUAAGAAUAUCAACGAUAUAAAUAUUUAUAAUUAUUAACUUAAUAUUAAAUAAUUUUGAAUAAUAUUAAAAAUUCUUUUUUAAUUGUGAAUUCUUUGAAACGAGUGACAACCUAACCUAGUGAUUAAUUUGAACGAUAUUAUCUUUCUACAAAACUUUACAAUAGAGAACGCGUCGAUCGGAAGGAAGUAUAUAUACGUGAGGAAUCGAACACAAAAAAAGAGAAUAUGUGAGUACAAUGAAGAGAAUAAAAGAAUUAAUAUGUGGUGACGAGGCUCAUACAUUAACAUGAGCCACAUGAUGACAUUGACAAUCAUGUGUACAAGAACAUAAAAGAAAAACUUGAUAGAGUAUCGUUAGGAAGAACAGUGUUGCUUCGUUACAUCGUUCAAUUACUAUUACGUGUUGUUACGUGAUAGAUGGCAGUCGGAUAGGUAUCUGCGAAAGGAACGUUCGAUCGAUUGACAGAGAAGACAUCGAGGCGCCUGCGAAAUUAUACCUCCAAGUGAAAUCGCACGCACAAACUCAUGUGACUCGAUGUACAUAUAUAUAUAUAUAUAUAUGACGAUAAUACAAUAUAUAUCAUUCACUCAACCUGUGAUCAAAGUGCAGCUCAGUUUGCCGAUUCUUAUAACAGUUUAAAUUAAGUAGAUAUCGCACGUCAAUUUUCAUCAUGACUAAUAAAAACAUUGUACUUGAAUCGAUUUUAUAUAUUUUUUUCUUUGUUUAAUUUUUUUCCAAUGAUUAUCAUUUAUCUUCAAAAGAAAAAUGAUAAUAUCAUAACCGAAAUGAUAAUUCAUAAUAAUUAAUAUAUUUUUACGUAGAAACUUAUUGUCUUCGAUUAAAAAAAAUUUCAUAGUUGUGAUCGUAAUAAGUAAUCAUAAUUCAAGAUAUAUUUUAAUAUAUUGAUUUUGUCAAAAAAAAAAAGAAGAAAAGAAGAUUCAUAAAAUUAAAUUUAAUGUUUUAACCGCAGAAUGAAAUUUUAACUUGGUAAAUUUCCAAUAACAUGCUAUUUGAUCUGGAAUAAGAUAUUACUAGUCGCGUGGCGUGCGACAGACUUAAUGGGAUUUGCACGGCAUCGUAUAAGUAGUACAAUUGUUAGUACAAAGGAUCGUAUUUCAAGAGUGAAACAUAUAAGUAGUUGGAAAACUGGCUAUGGCAAGCUUCAACCAAGUAAAACGUUAUAUCAAACGUUUUUCUGACGUUGGGAACGUUUAACAAUUUGUUUACGAGUCGCUUUACAAUUGUGACUCUGUUUUCGUGUUGCGUUGAACACAAAUCAAGAUACUACUCUUAACAAACGUAUUGAUUGAUUAAAUUGCUACAAAAUGAUCGUAUACUGGAUAUAUAUCUAGUACAUAUCUAUCCUCUAGUAUAUAUAUAUGUAUCUAUAAAUCUAGAAAAGCAAAUAUUGUAGAAUUACUAAUCUUAGAAAAUUCUUCUAUGUUAUUUUUAAUAUGAAAUAUAUACAAUAAUAUGAUAUGAAAUAAUAUGAAUAUACAAUUUAUAUAUUUUCUAUUUAUAUGUCAUGUUUAAUUAUAUAAUUUCAAGAAUUUUAUCACAAAUGUAAUGAAAAACAAAAUUUUUAAAGUCAAUUGGCUAAGAGAUAUUAUAAUUUCGCAAAGAUCAUCAUAUUGGAAAAAUGGAAAAAUACGCAGAGGCAGAGAAAACAGCGUAGAAAAAAAUAUAUAAACAAGUAAUAUAUAAAAUUAUUAUAUUUUACAUGACAGAUGACCUCGCCAUUAUCAAUUGUUUUCAAACGAGAAUGCUGAUAUAGAAACUCUUUGUUACUUUUUAUCGACUUUGUUACACAUAUAUGUGUUUACAUAUAUAUAUAUAUAUGAGUCACGAUUGAACCAAAUGCAUACAAUGGGUGGUUUCCCUACCUUUUUCUAUGAGUCAGGCAUUGACCUCUACGAAUGCUAAAACUCAAGAUAACUUGUACCACAUUUCUGAGGGGAAUUUAUUGAAACCGUAUUAAAUUAGAUGACAAAUUGAUCCGUAUGAGAAAACUGAAGAUAUGUACAUUAUACAUGUAUAUUCUGUAUAUUAAUAAUUUAUAAGUCACUUUGAUUAUUAUAUAUAUUACAUAUAUUCAAAGAAAUAAAUAUUGAAAAUGUUUAUUAUAAAAUUUUCUAAAUAAAUAAUUACAAAUAAAA